AGUGAACGCUGGCGGCGUGCUUAACACAUGCAAGUCGAACGGUAACAGGAACUAGCUUGCUAGUUUGCUGACGAGUGGCGCACGGGUGAGUAAUAUAUAGUUAAUGUACCCCAAAGACUGGGAUAGCCACUGGAAACGGUGAUUAAUACUAGAUACACCUCUUUAACAUAAGUUAGAGAGGGAAAUGUCUUUUCGCUUUGGGAUCAGACUAUAUCCUAUCAGUUAGUUGGUGAGGUAAUGGCUCACCAAGGCAAUGACGGGUAGCGGGUUUGAGAGGAUGAUCCGCCACACUGGUACUGAGACACGGACCAGACUCCUACGGGAGGCAGCAGUGAGGAAUAUUGCACAAUGGAGGAAACUCUGAUGCAGCAACGCCGCGUGGAGGAUGACGCAUUUCGGUGUGUAAACUCCUUUUAUGAGUCAAGAAAAUGACGGUAGCUCAUGAAUAAGCACCGGCUAACUCCGUGCCAGCAGCC
rnacentral:rRNA from 1 species